GGUAUUGUUUUCAUCAUUAUACAGAUGACAGAACUAAGGCACAGAGAGGCAAAGUAAUUCACCCAAAGUCACACAGCCAAAUUACAUGAGGAGACGACAAGACAACCAGAUGAACAGCAGAACGACAUGGCAGAGAAAGAGAAGAGGAAUCUCUGAAUGCCAAGAGGAGUUCUGCUGGGGUGGUCAGACAGGAGUUCAGCAGCUGGAUGGCCAAACUCCAGGGGAAGAUCAUCUUCCCACUCCAUCCCCACUUCCGGCUCCCCAUCCAUCCCACUGAGAGCCACCUCCACUGCUCAAUAAAACCCUUGCAUUCAUCGCUCAA